rnacentral:rRNA from 1 species
CGGGGUGAGUAACGCGUGGAAAACCUGCCGUAUACUGGGGGAUAACACUUAGAAAUAGGUGCUAAUACCGCAUAAGCGCACAGCUUCGCAUGAAGUGGUGUGAAAAACUCUGGUGGUAUACGAUGGUUCCGCGUCUGAUUAGCUUGUUGGCGGGGUAAUGGCUCACCAAGGCGACGAUCAGUAGCCGGCCUGAGAGGGUGAACGGCCACAUUGGGACUGAGACACGGCCCAAACUCCUACGGAAGGCAGCAG